rnacentral:lncRNA from 1 species
AAACGCCCCUAAUAUACGUGUCUGACUAGCUGUUUACCUUUCUUAAUUUCAACAUAUACAUAAACCAAAACAAUUGUUUUCUUCAACUAUCUAUUAUGACCAAUAAAAUGCAGACCCUUUACCCAAAAUUUACUUGAUCGCAAUAUAAAAACACACUUAUUUGAUCGUCAUAAAAGACAAUCCAUUCCUUGUGUUUUCAACAGCAGAUAUAUAUUUCAUAUUUUCUUCAUCAGUCCAUUUUACUGAUAGCUCAUCCCAUUUUUUGGUCUGGUAUUCUUUUCUAAAUUGUUGGCGAAUAGCGUUUAAUUUUGACAUUUCGAUGGGAUUUCCAGUACCAGUAUACAAAAGCAAUAGAGAACCUUUUGGUAAGGAGUCGUAUAAAAGACGAAUUCUUCGAUUAAAACGCUCUAAAGCAGAAGAAUAGCUAGUUACUUGGUCCUCUUCUACCGAAUCAUUCUCUGUAUCAGUAUCAGAGUUGUUUUCUUGUUUUGUAUUUCGAUUAGCGUUCCACAUAGCCGCAUGCUCCAAUUCGCGAAAACGACCCCACACGAAGUUAUGCAUGUCUGAAAGACUUACAACAGCGCUUACGACUUCAUCAUCAUUCGCACAAGAAACGCUUUUAUGAGCCGCUUUGCCAAUGCACGACUCCGGAUUACCAUAGUCGGCAAUUGCACCAAUCAAUGGAGUUGGCUGCUGUCGUGACAAUCUAUGAAAGAUUGACUCAAAGUCUUGGUUAAACAACCCAAAGGCAGGUCCAUUCUUAACUUUCAACUUUAGAAGAUCCACACAAGCAAGAGCAUCUUCUGCAGAAUCGUGCCCCAGAGCUCCCGCUUUUUGUAUCUCACGCCUCAACCACUUCGUUGCAAGCCAUUUAAGCGAUGGUUUUGAAGGGGGACCACGAGUGUGAUUAUAAAUGUUUGCCGUAUCAAUGAUAUGAGGGUGUGUAAAUUUUAAGCAAUUAAGAUCAGAAUUUAGACUAUGGCCUAAAAGAACGGUAUUGUUGUCCACAGUCUUUUUUAAGUAAGAUUGAACAUCGGAAAGAACAGUAGUAACAUUUCUCAGUUUUUCUUCAGUUAUGCCAGAAUACUGGGUAACAUAAUCAGUGACGGGUGAUUCUGGUUUUACAAAUUCGUCGUAAAUAACCUCACUUUUCAUGUCUACAAUAGUUACUCUGGCUAUUUCUAACCCGUUCUCAGUCCGCACCAUUUCGCAAUCAAUAGCAAGAAUUUUGGGAUUUAUAGGAGGAGAAUGAAAAUCUCCUGCAGAAGCAACCCAUCCUGAAGGCUGAGUAACCUCUUCACCCUUCAUGACAGUAGGAUGUAAUGGGUAUUCGUCUUCAAUGAAAGAUUCAUAACUCAUUAAGUAAUCAGAUGGUUUGGAAAAACUAGCCAUAGCACGUGUUUCUUUAUCUCUUUUCUUCUUUUGUUCAUUACUCAGAGGAGAUUGCAAAAAGGCAUUCACCGGAGAAAAGACACGAAAUCGAUCUCCAGGAGAUCUCGUAGGCCAUGCGCGAUCAAACACUUCACAAAAAUCAGGUAAUUGAAUGGGGCCAUUUUCAUUUAGCAAAUUCGGCAGCAAAAAUGAGUGCUUGUUGCCGCGCACGGGUUGAAACCCAAAUUGACUAGGCUCCAAUCCAGGAACUAAAAGUAUCACUGCUCUAUGAAUCAUUUGUUUAUUUCUCACUAGAACCCAUGAAGGAGCCUGUCCAUCAGCUAAACACCAGAAUACAAGCUCUUGUAGGUCGCUAAUUUUUAGGGGUUUUUGAAGAUUGUUUUCCGUAGUUUGCAAUCUAGGGUAAUUUUCUUCAUUUAGCGGUUGCUGAGAUUUUUUUAACUUUUUCUUUUUCUUUUUUUUACUCUGAGAGUCGUCAUUAGAGUCUGGUGAAUCUUUCACUCCAUCAUUUGAACCAUCCAUACUUAGGUCUUCUUUUUUUCGCUUCACUUUCCUUUUUUCUCCGUGUGAAGCAACAUUCUUUGACUUUUUUUCAAUGGAGUCUUCUUGGGUUAUCCCAUCCUGAAGUUCACCCAUGCUUGAGGAUCCCAUCUUUGACAUUUUUUAUUUUGGUGGUAUCACUAUGGUGGUCGGCUAUUCCGCGGGCAAUGCAUCUUCAGAUCCUCGGAAUACUAAUGUGCUUAUGUUGAUUGCGAGUUUUUAUUUGAAUUGCAGGCUUUAGCAUUGUCUUGUAUUAUAUCCAUUAACUAAGGAUUUCAAAUUUCUUUUUAAUCCAAAAAAUGUCACAAUGACUACAUGUUUACUUUAAGUGCUCAAUGAGGAUAUACAAGGAAUAUACUCAGAAGGUUCAAUAAAUAUUUGAAUAAACGUAUUUUAUAUUAUACAAAAAAAUUGAAAUUAAGCAGAUUCCAACCUUUUUUUAUAUUUUUUUCAUUGCCUUUUCUGUAAACUCUCAUCAAUUUUGUUAAUAAUAUCAAUGAUAAUUUCGGAAGCAGGCGAUUCAGGACAUUCAUCAAUAAAGCUUUUUCCAAAAUCACAUGAACGUGCAAUCAAUGGGUCCAAAGGAAUUUUACCCAAGAAUGGUAGUCCCAUUUCUUUUGCUAACGCUUCACCUCCUCCUGUAGUAAUAGUGAAUAUAUUAGACUUGCCUUUGCAAGAAGGACAUACAAAACCGCUCAUGUUCUCCACUAAUCCAAGGAUAGGGAUGGACGCCUUUCUGCAAAAAUCUAUUUCUUUACGGACGUCUUGAAGAGCAACCUCUUGAGGAGUAGUAACUACAACAGCACCAUCAAUUCCGGAAUUUUUAAAAAAUUGAACCAAAGAUAAAUGUUCAUCGCUAGUUCCCGGAGGAGUAUCAACAAUCAAAUAGUCUAAAUUUUCCCAGUUAACGUCUUUGAUGAAUUGUUUGAUCAGCCCGUUUUUUUUGGGCCCCCUCCAUAUAACAGAUGAAUCUUCGCUUGGUAAUAAAAAUCCAAUUGACAUAACAGCCAAGUUAGGGCAUACAUAAAUAGGGGACCAGCCUUUGCUUGAUUGAUGGGCUUCCUCCUUUUCAACACCCAUUAUUCUCGGAAUUGAAGGCCCGCAAAUAUCCACGUCCAUUAACCCGAUCUGCUUGUCUUCUUCAAGCGAUAACCCCCAUGCUAAUUGCGAAGAGAAUGUGGACUUUCCAACACCUCCUUUACCUGAUAAAACAAGAAUUUUGUGCUUGAUUUCUUUCAAGCGUUCUACAACCAAUGGUAAAUCUGGAUCUUCUCCACGAGGUGCUGAAGCGCAAAUUUGUUGAUUAGGGCAUCCUUCACAUGCUGAUGCAGUUCCUGCAUUUUCAGAUGACGGUCCGGGGCAAUGCUCUGGUGCAUCUAAAGGAACAGUUUCUUGGAUUUGCAUAGAAAAGCCAAUAUUAAAGCAAAUGCUUAGUAAAAGUC